UUUUCAAGUGAGCCAAGUGUUUUACAGCUCAGGGCACCUAUCAAGAUAUUUGGUGAUUUGCACGGGCAAUUUGGUGAUCUAAUGCGCCUUUUUGACGAGUAUGGUGCACCUUCAACAGCUGGUGAUAAGAAGAGAUAAUCGAUAUAUGCUAUCUUCUUAGGAGAUUAUGUUGAUCGGGGUCAGCACAGCCUGGAGACCAUUACUCUACUGCUUGCUUUGAAGGUUGAAUAUCCCCAUAAUGUUCAUUUAAUUCGUGGGAACCAUGAAGCUGCAGAUAUCAAUGCCCUUUUUGGCUUCCGGAUUGAAUGCAUUGAGCGCAUGGGGGAGAGAGAUGGAAUUUGGGUUUGGCAUCGAAUAAAUCGUUUGUUCAAUUGGCUUCCUUUGGCAGCACUGAUUGAAAAGAAAAUCGUUUGUAUGCAUGGUGGUAUUGGUCGCUCAAUAAAUCAUGUGGAACAGAUUGAGAAUCUUCAGCGUCCAAUUAGUAUGGAAGCAGGCUCAAUUGUGCUUAUGGAUUUGUUAUGGUCGGAUCCAACAGA
rnacentral:misc_RNA from 1 species